UCUUGCUGUACGGCUGGCGGCGGCCCGGGCCGGCGGGCGGGGGCCGGGGCGGGCCCGGCCGGCGGCGGCGGCGGCGGCCGGAGAUGGUGAUCUGCUGCGCCGCCGCCAACUGCUCCAACCGGCAGGGGAAGGCGCACCGGGGCGCCGUCUCCUUCCACAGAUUCCCUCUGAAGGAUUCAAAGCGUCUGAUUCAGUGGCUAAAAGCUGUUCAGAGAGACAACUGGACUCCCACCAAGUAUUCGUUUCUCUGCAGCGAGCAUUUCACCAAAGACAGUUUUUCGAAGCGGCUGGAAGACCAGCACCGGUUGCUGAAGCCCACUGCUGUCCCUACUAUCUUCCAGCUUGCAGAGAAAAAACACGACAACCUGGAUUAUGUCAGAAGCAGAAGAAAAAUAGCCAGCCAGGUGCCGCUGCGGGAUGGGGAAGACCCAAGGGAAGGAGGCUGUGAGGUAGUUCAGAGGACCUCGUCUUCUGGCCAGGACUUCAUGGUGAUGCAAGGGACGAAAGAGAUGGAGGAGGCAACUUUGCAAGCGGAAAUCGGAUCAAUGUCCGAGGAGGAAGAGAACCGCCCCAGCCAGCUGGACGGCCCUCGGAGAAGGAUGUUGAGUGAUAAUUUGGUUGCAAAGCCUGGACCUCAGAAAAAGCCUGAGAGAUCUUCUGUGGAGGACUGUCCGAAAGCCACCUGGACGGGGAGCUGGGUAGCAGACAGAAGCGGUGUGUCGGUCGACGACUUCACGCCUCCUGCCUCUGGUGCUUGCAAGUUCAUCGGCUCCCUCCAUUCUUACAGCUUUUCCUCUAAGCAUGCCAGAGAGAGGCCAUCUUUCCCGAAAGAGCAGCUAGAAAGGAAAAGGCCAAAGAGAGAUAUGGAACCAAGCUGCAGCAGCCAUCUGAUGGGACACGAGAAGGCUGUAGUGGAAGGUUCCCCUACUUCAUCCCUCACCGCCACCCCUCAGAAACCUUCCCAGGGUUUGUCGGCGUCCCCGGCAGACCUUACCCCUCAGCCUGCCGCUGAGGCUGUAGUGGGGCGGAAGGGUGACACGGAUGCCAACCCCAUGUCAAUCAACGAGGUCAUCAUGUCAGCCUCGGGAGCUUGCAAGCUCAUCGACUCACUCCACUCGUACUGUUUCUCCUCCAGGCAGAGCAAAAGUCAGGUGUGCUGCUUGCGUGAGCAGGUAGAAAAGAAGAACGGAGAGUUGAAACUUUUGAGGCAGAGGAUCAGUCGCUCUGACAGUCAAGUCAGGAAGCUGAAGGAGAAGCUAGAUGAGCUGAAGAGGAUCAGUUUCCCUUACUUGAACAGCCUGCUAUCCCAGGACUGUGAGACUCCCCAGCUGAAUCCAGUGAUGGAGCCCCUGUCCUGGAUGCUGGGCACCUGGCUCUCGGAUCCACCUGGAGACGGCACCUUCCCUACAAUGAAGCCCUUCCAGUACCUGGAGGAAGUGCACAUCUCUCAUGUGGGACAGCCCAUGCUCAACUUCUCGUUCAACGCCUUCCAUCCGCACACCAGGAAGCCCAUGCAUCGAGAAUGUGGAUUCAUCCGCCUCAAACCCGACACUAAUAAGGUGGCCUUCAUCAGUGCCCAGAACACAGGUCUGGUGGAGGUGGAGGAAGGGGAGGUGAAUGGACAAGAGCUGUCUAUAGCUUCUCACUCCAUAGCCAGGAUCUCCUUUGCCAAGAAGCCCCAUGUCGAGCAGCGGUGGUUUGUUGUUGACACAGUUGGAUGGGGUACAGCCACCAUGGCACUGCUGGAGUUAGUGUGGCAUGCUGAGGUCACCGCUGGAAUCCUAGCUGUCACGUGUGAAGUUGUCUUGGCUGACUGGCAGCUGAGAAAGACAGCAAGGUCGAACAAGCUGUCACAAAGACUAGGUGGUGGCGUGUUCUUGCAUCUGUUUAGUUUUCUCUGAUAACAUGUGAACCAAGUGACUGACUGCAGUUUUUGAAGGGUGACAAGUGAGGUGUGGCUCUUGGGAGAGAAAACACUACUUUGGGGCAAAUACAGUGUUGUCUUAUUCUGGACUUUAAGGCUUAAUUUUGCAACUUAGUUUUUACGUGCUAUAAAACCAACCCAUAGAUAACUGAGAGCAUAGGUUUGUGCAGCUGGUGUCGUAAGUGUGCUCGCUGAAUUCACUGACGUGCCAAAAAUUGUAUGUGCCUACACAAGCAAUGUCCUAGCUCCGGAAAGGCAGUCCUAACUCCCCUGCCUUCAGAUGUGUGCUUUAAGUUGGUGGGUUUCUCCUUUCCCAGGAGCAGCUGUAUGGUCUCCUUUCUAUAGCAGGAGAAAUAAAGCCAUUAAAUACUAUGGAUAUCACCAAGGCAGCAGAGCUCUUAAUUACAAACAUUUAAAUAAAGCGGACUGUCCUCUCAGAGUGCCUGAAAUGUGAGCAGAUAGACCGGCAGGAGGAGAGGGGGAAAGCAGCAGAAAGCUGGCGAACGUCUUACUGGCUGAGGGCUCCAAGGCUGGCUUUGGCUGAAGGCGGAAGAGGGAACCUCCUGAGCUGAAGGUCCACGCUCACCUGAGGGCAGUUCAGGCCCAGGUACUGGUCACAACGAGUGUCUGGGAGGCCCUUGCUGGAGAAGGAGGAUGUGGAAGGAGAGGAUAUGGCAGGUAACCGGCUCCCAACACAUUUUCUUCUUCCCCAAGAACAGCAUAAAUUGCCCAUGGAAAUGAAGAGACCACAAGUGUUGUGAGAAGGGUGCAUGUGCUGCUGCUUUAGUUGCUCAUUUUGAGAAAACUUCACCGUGAAGUUGUGUUCCCACUGAAAAGUGAUUCGGGAUGGCUGUGGUUCGGCUGGGCCGUAAUUCAGGCAGGAAGAGCCGUUCCCUGGGCCAGGGCUGUGUUUUAGGUGCGUGGCUGUGCUGAGGUGCGGGGAGCUCCCCGCACGGACAGAGCGGAGCAGCCCCUGGGGAUCUGUCCCUGCUGGAGGCGACGCUGACGGGACGUUAAGGCACAAUUGCAGCAUAUUGAGACUCUUCCUACGUCUCUGAGGAGUGAGGGGCUCUCAGCUCCCACCCUGUGCACAGAGAUAACUCCUAGACGGGGUUUGUUUCCAAACACACUACUUGUGUUCCCCUGCGAGUGUCUGGAGAACAGGCACGUUUUCAAAUAGUUUUAGACUUCAGGACUGUCCUCGCAGUAUGUGGGUACUGAGAACUGGCUGAUGCGCCUGCAAGGCUGCUGUGUUAUCUUUGAAAGGUGAUGGAGAUCAGUGGAGUUUCCCGAUGACUGGACACCCAUGGCUCGUGGGUCACCCAUCUUCAGAAAGCGCCUGAAGGUCAAUGUGGAGAGCUACAGAGUGGUCAACUGUGGUCAUCCUCACUUCAGCCCCUGCGAUUCCUGCACGUAGGAAGAAGAUUACCAGAAAAUUCAGGCUCAAUUCCGAUGGGAAACUCGAACAAACUGUCUCAAUGGCAACCACUACGCAGCCCAUGACUCAGCACCUCCACAUUACCUACAAAAAGGUGACGCCCUGACGCCGGGAG